rnacentral:rRNA from 1 species
GCGAGCGUUGUCCGGAUUUAUUGGGCGUAAAGAGCUCGUAGGCGGUUCGGUAAUUCAGGUGUAAAAACUCCAGGCUCAACUUGGAGAGGCCACCUGAUACUGCCGUGACUAGAGUCCGGUAGAGGAGCACGGAAUUCCUGGUGUAGCGGUGAAAUGCGCAGAUAUCAGGAGGAACACCGGUGGCGAAGGCGCCACUCUGGGCCGAAACUGACUCUGAGGAGCGAAAGCGUGGGUAGCAAACAGG